rnacentral:rRNA from 1 species
GCAAAUGACGGGCGAGCUGCGGCGGGAAUACGUAGGGGGCGGGGGUUAAUCGGAAUGACUGGGCGUAAAGCGUGCGCAGGCGGUUUUGUAAGACAGGCGUGAAAGCCCCGGGCUUAACCUGGGAACUGCGGUUGUGACUGCAAGACUAGAGUACGGCAGAGGGGGGUGGAAUUCCACGUGUAGCAGUGAAAUGCGUAGAGAUGUGGAGGAACACCAAUGGCGAAGGCAGCCCCCUGGGUCGAUACUGACGCUCAUGCACGAAAGCGUGGGUAGCAAACAGGAUUAGAUACCCGUGUAGUC